rnacentral:rRNA from 1 species
CAAUAGCGUAUAUUAAAGUUGUUGCAGUUAAAAAGCUCGUAGUUGGAUUUCUGGUGGGAGCGAUCGGUCUGGCGCUUAGCGCGAGUACUUGCAUCGUCUCCGGCCAUCCUUGGGGAGAGUCUGUCUGGCAUUAGGUUGUCGGGCAGAGGAUCUUCAUCGUUUACUGUGAAAAAAUUAGAGUGUUCAAAGCAGGCUUAUGCCGUUGAAUAUAUUAGCAUGGAAUAAUAAGAUAGGACUUUGGUACUAUUUUGUUGGUUUGCGCACCAAAGUAAUGAUUAAUAGGGACAGUUGGGGGUAUUCGUAUUCCGUUGUCAGAGGUGAAAUUCUCGGAUUUACGGAAGACGAACUACUGCGAAAGCAUUUACCAAGGAUGUUUUCAUUAA